GCAAAACACAAAAAGACAGUCUCAGUUCAGAUUGUAGGCUGAAACUCGCCUAUAUGAAGUCGGAAUUGCUAGUAAUCGCAGAUCAGCAUGCUGCGGUGAAUACGUUCCCGGGCCUUGUACACACCGCCCGUCACACCAUGAGAGUCGAUAACACCCGAAGCCUGUAGUCUAACCAUAAGGAGGACGCAGUCGAAGGUGGGAUUGAUAAUUAGGGUGAAGUCGUAACAAGGUAAC
rnacentral:rRNA from 1 species